CAGCAUAGGCAUUUCCGAGCCAAAUAGCUUAGUUUGGUCCUUCGAUACUCAUCAUGUCAACAGCAGUUAAUAAGGUAUUACGUAUGGGAGAGCAAAAACAUCAGCAGAGUCUAUUUGCAAAGCUUCUGACCAUACCUGAUGGUCCUUAGCUUCAUCAAGACACACGUCGGGUUUCCUAACCAGAUUACUCUUGCUUCCAAGCAACCAUUCCUGGUCAUCGAAUCCAGACCACCCGUCCAUCUUGGGAACUGAGAGUAUCUGGUUCAGAUACUUGGAAUCGGGAUGAGGAGG
rnacentral:misc_RNA from 1 species